rnacentral:rRNA from 1 species
UACAGAGACUGCAAGCGUUAUUCGGAUUCACUGGGCGUAAAGGGUGCGCAGGCGGUCGGGUGUGUCAGAUGUGAAAUCCCGAGGCUCAACCUCGGAACUGCGUCUGAAACUACUCGACUAGAGUACUGGAGAGGGAAACGGAAUUCACGGUGUAGCAGUGAAAUGCGUAGAUAUCGUGAGGAACACCAGAGGCGAAGGCGGUUUCCUGGACAGUUACUGACGCUCAGGCACGAAAGCGUGGGGAGCAAAAGGG